UUGCGUUCACAUCACAUUGAAUCAAUGGUUCUCGUCAGAUCACCAAAGUUAAGCAAUGUCGAACCUGAUCAGUACCUAGAUGGAUGAUUGCUUGGGAGUACCAGGAGA